GACUUGCUCUGUUAUGGCAAAGACAGACCUUAAUGUUUUACUGAAGACUCACUCCUCAGUCACAUAUGAAUACUAUAUAAAUUAAAUAUUUUUGUAUAUGUAAAACUGUUGUUUCCAGUGGUGUUUGUUUGAAAUCGUGGCUGCUGUUGGGUGUGUAAAACUUGGAGAGCAAGUCUGGUGCCAGCAGCUGCGGUAAUUCCAGCUCCAAUAGCGUAUCUUAAAGUUGCUGCGGUUAAAAAGCUCGUAGUUGGAUCUUGGGAUCAAGCUGGUGGUCUGCUGUGAGACGAGCCACUGCCUGUCCCAGCCCCUGCCUCUUGGCACCCCCUUGAUGCUCUUAGCUGAGUGUCCUGCAGGGCCUGAAGCGUUUACUUUGAGAAAAUUUGAGUGUUCAAAGCAGGCCGGCUGCUGGCAUACUGCAGCUAGGAAUAAUGGAAUAGGACUCCGGUUCGAUUUUGCUGGUUUUUGGAAACAGGGCCAUGAUUAAGAGGGAUGGCUGGGGGCAUUCAUAUUGUGCUGCUAGAGGUGAAAUUCUUGGACCAGUGCAAGCUGGCCUAGAGCAAAAGCAUUUGCCAAGAAUGUUUUCAUUAAUCAAGAACUAAAGAAAAAAAAAACUAUGUCCCUUGAACUGCUAGGUUUCAUUCCUUGGUGGGGCAGUUGUAGCUCCCUUGGCAUCAGCUACCUGUAGGCAGAGCAGCUCUGUGACAGCACAGCCUCCCUCCAUCAAGC
rnacentral:ncRNA from 1 species